rnacentral:rRNA from 1 species
AGGCCUAACACAUGCAAGUCGAGCGGAAACGACACUAACAAUCCUUCGGGUGCGUUAAUGGGCGUCGAGCGGCGGACGGGUGAGUAAUGCCUAGGAAAUUGCCUUGAUGUGGGGGAUAACCAUUGGAAACGAUGGCUAAUACCGCAUAAUGCCUACGGGCCAAAGAGGGGGACCUUCGGGCCUCUCGCGUCAAGAUAUGCCUAGGUGGGAUUAGCUAGUUGGUGAGGUAAUGGCUCACCAAGGCGACGAUCCCUAGCUGGUCUGAGAGGAUGAUCAGCCACACUGGAACUGAGACACGGUCCAGACUCCUACGGGAGGCAGCAGUGGGGAAUAUUGCACAAUGGGCGAAAGCCUGAUGCAGCCAUGCCGCGUGUAUGAAGAAGGCCUUCGGGUUGUAAAGUACUUUCAGUUGUGAGGAAGGGGGUAGCGUUAAUAGCUCUAUCUCUUGACGUUAGCAACAGAAGAAGCACCGGCUAACUCCGUGCCAGCAGCCGCGGUAAUACGGAGGGUGCGAGCGUUAAUCGGAAUUACUGGGCGUAAAGCGCAUGCAGGUGGUUCAUUAAGUCAUAUGUGAAAGCCCGGGGCUCAACCUCGGAACUGCAUUUGAAACUGGUGAACUAGAGUACUGUAGAGGGGGGUAGAAUUUCAG